CUUCCCCCCAAAUUCUUUCCGCCAUAUUCAAUUUCAUUUCUCUCCUGGCGAAUACAAAGCAAACGACGAUCUGCUCCGGUAGCCUAGCAGAUUACAACGACGACGAUCCAGCGUUGAUACUAGUUAAUUGUUUAACCGGUUGAAAUGUAGCUGUUCCUCUUUCAUCGCCGUUGAUUUUCAUCGCUUGAAUCUAGCGAUUUAACGGCAGCGAUAAAUUCAAUUUUCGGUAGUAAGGAGGAGGUGAAGACGGAGAAAUCGCCUGAAGUUUUGGUGUUUCCUAAGUGGAAACAUCCUGUGACGCCGUCAUGCUAAGAGUAUACGAGUACGUUUUUUGGUGACCGUCGGCGACCAAGCAGGUUGCAAGGGUGAGCUCCAGCGUUGGUACAAAUAAAUUAUGCAUCGAUUGUAGGAGGAGGUGAAGGAGAAAUUGUCGGCAGUUUUGGUGUUUCCGAAGUGGCAACAUCUUGUGACGCCGUCAUUCUACGAGGCAACGACUCUGUGACCAGCAGCGACCGAGCUGGUUGCAACGCGAGCUCCAGCGUCAAUACAAAUAAAUUGUGCAACCAUUGGAAUUUUCUGGUAGUAAGGAGGAGGUGAAGAAGGAGAAAUCGCCUACAUUUUUGUGUUUAAGAAGAGGCAGCAUCCUGUGAGAAAACAACCUCUCUACUGAAGGAUGUGUUGCUCAGAUUCUCUAAAAAAUGUUGCUGAAGAAUCCAACAUGCAUCCAUUGGCAUUUUUGAAGAGUUUGAACAUCACAAAUAACAGGUUAACUCUAUUUUUAUUACUAUAUCAGGUUUGUUUGCUAUGA